AUGCUUAUUUAGGGCAGCACAUAGACUAAAAUUGAAAUGAUACAGAGAGGAUUAGCAUGUCCCCUGCACAAGGAUGACACACAAAUUUAUGAAGCAUUCUAUAUAUAU
ensembl:snRNA U6 U6 spliceosomal RNA